rnacentral:rRNA from 1 species
CCUACGGGAGGCAGCAGUGGGGAAUAUUGGGCAAUGGAGGCAACUCUGACCCAGCAACGCCGCGUGAGCGAUGAAGGUCUUCGGAUUGUAAAGCUCUUUAAGCGGGGACGAAGAAAGUGACUGUACCCGCAGAAUAAGCCUCGGCUAACUACGUGCCAGCAGCCGCGGUAAUACGUAGGGGGCAAGCGUUAUCCGGAUUUACUGGGUGUAAAGGGAGCGUAGACGGCAGCACAAGUCUGGAGUGAAAUCCCGGGGCUUAACCCCGGAACUGCUUUGGAAACUGUGCGGCUGGAGUGCAGGAGGGGUAAGCGGAAUUCCUAGUGUAGCGGUGAAAUGCGUAGAUAUUAGGAGGAACACAGGUGGCGAAGGCGGCUUACUGGACUGUAACUGACGUUGAGGCUCGAAAGCGUGGGGAGCAAACAGGAUUAGAUACCCGAGUAGUC